AGCGAACGCUGGCGGCAGGCUUAACACAUGCAAGUCGAACGGUAACAGGGUGCUUGCACCGCUGACGAGUGGCGAACGGGUGAGUAAUGCGUCGGAACGUGCCGAGUAGUGGGGGAUAACGCAGCGAAAGUUGUGCUAAUACCGCAUACGUACUGAGGUAGAAAGUGGGGGACCUUCGGGCCUCACGCUAUUCGAGCGGCCGACGUCUGAUUAGCUAGUAGGUGAGGUAAAGGCUCACCUAGGCGACGAUCAGUAGCGGGUCUGAGAGGAUGAUCCGCCACACUGGGACUGAGACACGGCCCAGACUCCUACGGGAGGCAGCAGUGGGGAAUUUUGGACAAUGGGCGAAAGCCUGAUCCAGCCAUGCCGCGUGUCUGAAGAAGGCCUUCGGGUUGUAAAGGACUUUUGUCAGGGAGGAAAUCCCUAGUGCUAAUACCGCUGGGGGAUGACAGUACCUGAAGAAUAAGCACCGGCUAACUACGUGCCAGCCGCCGCGGUAA
rnacentral:rRNA from 1 species